rnacentral:rRNA from 1 species
CGUACGAGAACUCCUUAGCUUGCUAGGGAUAGUAAAGUGGCGCACGGGUGAGUAACGCGUGGGUAAUUUACCUCUGAAUUGGGGAUAACCCGCCGAAAGGCGAGCUAAUACCUAAUAAUAUCUUAUGAACUUUGGGACAUGAGAUCAAAGAUGACCUCUUCGUGAAAGUUAUUGUUUGGAGAUGAGCCCGCGUACCAUUAGCUAGUUGGUAGGGUAAAGGCCUACCAAGGCAACGAUGGUUAGCUGGUCUGAGAGGAUGAUCAGCCACGCUGGAACUGACACACGGUCCAGACUCCUACGGGAGGCAGCAGUGAGGAAUAUUGCGCAAUGGGGGAAACCCUGACGCAGCAACGCCGCGUGAGUGAAGAAGGCUUUUGGGUCGUAAAGCUCUGUCAAGUGGGAAGAACCCAUGAUAUGAUAAUACCAUAUUAUGCUGACGGUACCACUAAAGGAAGCACCGGCUAACUCCGUGCCAGCAGCCGCGGUAAUACGGGGGGUGCAAGCGUUAUUCGGAAUCAUUGGGCGUAAAGGGCGCGUAGGCGGCCUGUUAAGUCAGAUGUGAAAGCCCGAGGCUUAACCUCGGAAGUGCAUUUGAAACUAACAGGCUUGAGUAUGGGAGAGGGAAGUGGA